ACUACCAAUUGUUCGCCAAACCACUACGAGUAAUACUUAAAACUUAAAAGACUUGACGGUACUUCACCCCACCUAGAGGAGCCUGUCCAAUAACCGACAACCCACGAUUAACCCAACCACUUCUAGCCCAACAGUCUAUAUACCGCCGUCGCCAGCUUACCUUGUAAAAGAAAUAAAGUGAGCUAAACAGUAACACACUAAAACGACAGGUCGAGGUGUAACUCAUGAAGUGGGCCAAGAUGGGCUACAUUCUCCAACAGAGCACACGAACAACACUCUGAUAUUAGCGUUUGAAGGCGGAUUUAGCAGUAAGAUAAGAAUAAAAUACUUAACUGAACAUAAUGCAAUGAAGUGCGCACACACCGCCCGUCACCCCUGCCACCAC
rnacentral:rRNA from 1 species